rnacentral:rRNA from 1 species
GAACGAACGCUGGCGGCAUGCCUAACACAUGCAAGUCGAACGAGACCUUCGGGUCUCGUGGCGCACGGGUGCGUAACGCGUGGGAACCUGCCCUUAGGUUCGGAAUAACUCCCCGAAAGGGGUGCUAAUACCGGAUAAUGUCUUCGGACCAAAGAUUUAUCGCCUUUGGAUGGGCCCGCGUUGGAUUAGCUAGUUGGUAGGGUAAAAGCCUACCAAGGCGACGAUCCAUAGCUGGUCUGAGAGGAUGAUCAGCCACACUGGGACUGAGACACGGCCCAGACUCCUACGGGAGGCAGCAGUGGGGAAUAUUGUACAAUGGGCGAAAGCCUGAUCCAGCAAUGCCGCGUGAGUGAUGAAGGCCUUAGGGUUGUAAAGCUCUUUUACCCGGGAUGAUAAUGACAGUACCGGGAGAAUAAGCUCCGGCUAACUCCGUG